rnacentral:rRNA from 1 species
AGCAGCCGCGGUAAUUCCAGCUCCAAUAGCGUAUAUUAAAGUUGUUGCAGUUAAAAAGCUCGUAGUUGAACUUCGGGGUUUACCCAUUGGUCAAGCUUAAUUGUCUGUACUGGUGAGAUAAAUCUCUACCUUCUGAGGAACUUUCAUGUCAUUAAUUUGGUGUGAUUGGAAAUCAGGACUGUUACUUUGAAAAAUUAGAGUGUUUAAAGCAGGCUAACGUCUGAAUACAUUAGCAUGGAAUAAUGAAAUAGGACGGACUGAUUCUAUUUCGUUGGUUUCUAGGAUCACCGUAAUGAUUAAUAGGGAUAGUUGGGGGCAUUAGUAUUCAAUUGUCAGAGGUGAAAUUCUUGGAUUUAUUGAAGACUAACUACUGCGAAAGCAUUUGCCAAGGAUGUUUUCAUUAAUCAAGAACGAAAGUUAGGGGAUCGAAGACGAUCAGAUACCGUCGUAGUCUUAACCAUAAACUAUGCCGACUAGGGAUCGGACGAAGUUAAUUUAUAAUUGACGCGUUCGGCACCGU